GACGACGCUGGCGGCGUGCCUAACACAUGCAAGUCGUGCGGUCUCGCCUUAAGCGAAAGGCCUUCGGGCUUUGAAGCAAAGGCGAGAUAGCGGCGGACGGGUGAGUAACGCGUGGCUUAUCUGUCCCAGGGAGGGGGAUAACGUCUGGAAACGGGCGCUAAUACCCCAUAUGCCGAAAGGUAAAAAGGAGAGAUCCGCCCUGGGGUGAGGCCGCGUCCUAUCAGCUCGUUGGUGAGGUAACGGCCCACCAAGGCUAUGACGGGUAGCCGGCCUGAGAGGGCGGCUGGCCACACUGGGAUUGAGAUACGGCCCAGACUCCUACGGGAGGCAGCAGUGGGGAAUAUUGGGCAAUGGGGGAAACCCUGACCCAGCGACGCCGCGUGGAGGAAGGAGCCCUUCGGGGUGUAAACUCCUGUUGUAAGGGAAGAAGACAGUGACGGUACCUUACGAGGAAGCCCCGGCAAACUACGUG
rnacentral:rRNA from 1 species